ACUAACCUAGAGUGAAAAACAGACCGGAGGUUGCCUCUGUGGCUGGGGGGCUUGGCAGGGAGGGAGCUGGGGAAGUGGUGGGAGGCUCUUGGUAGGUCCGGUGAGCAGGGGCAGGCCUUUGUUAAUGCUCAGCAGAUAGACGUUCUCUUGCCCAGGCGGCUGCAGCCAGAGAAAACUCAGCAAAGCGGCUCCGGAGGGCCACAAGGCUGCUUAGUGUCGGGGGGUGGAGGGGGGUCGGGGCAGUGGUGGCCACUGUGUGCCAUGACAUGCAUCAGACCAGGGCUGUGUGGGGCGGAUCUGUGCGUGGACAGCUAGCACCCAUAGGGCUGCACAGGGUGUCUGCCCACUUGCUUACCUGGGGUCGUUUUUAUAAUAAAAUGAAGAGGUAGAAAAAAUAAGACGAGAACCUUCAUGGCUGAGGAGGAGGGCAGCAUUGGUCAGCCUGGUGUUGCUGGUUCUCCACCAGCGGCUGUCGGCCUUUGCUGGCUAUUGGGAGGGCUCCUCCAAGGUCUCAGGGACCCACCAGAGGCUGUGGUUCUGGGGCCUGGACCCAGGUCGGGCCUGCUGGCCAGACGCUGUCAGUCCCGGGCACGUCUGCUUGGGGCAGGUUCUGUUGAGACCCUGGCCCCUGGGGAUAGGUCAGCCUGGUGCAUGGGGUUCAUGAAGGCACCAGACAAGCUGUGAGCAGAGCUGCUGCUGGAACUGCUUUAAACCUGGAGGGACGGGCACCGGUGACAGUGACCAAGGCCCUGUCCCAGUGCAGGUGGGCAGGGCAGUCCACCCAGUGCCAGCUGCUUAGGGCCGCUCGGGGCAGGUGAGCGAGGAGGGGCCUCUGGGGAGAGGGCGCUGAAACAGGCUGUUCCCAGGUACGAGGCGGGCCGAGGCCGGGGCUGUUCCCAGAGCUGGGAAGAUGUUGGGAUGGACGGAGCAGGAGGGCAGCGCACACAGCUGUGGGGGAGCUGGCCAUGGGUGCGGGGCUCAGCUCGUCGAGGGCUCCUGGUGGGUGGUCACCAUGCAGAGCCACAUCCCUGCAGGCUCAUGUUUCACUGCCUCUUCCCGGGUGUGCUUUUCUGUCCCAGGACACAUCCGGGAUCCAACGUGACAGACACCAAGUUCCCACGCUGCCUCGGGCUCCUCUUGGCUGUGACGGUUUCUCGGACUUUCUUUUUUUGACGACUGUGGCAGUUUUGGGGAGUCCUGGUCCUUUUUAGAGAAUGCCCCUCAGUUGGGAGGUGUCUGGUGUUUUCUCUCGUGGUUAGCCUGCAGCUGAGUGUUUCGGGGAGGAAGACCCCAGAGGACAGGCGCCCUCCCUGCAUGCGGCGUCUGGGCACUCUAUCCCCAAAACACAGGCAGGGCUCGGCCAGAGGAAAACUCACUGCCCUUCACAGCAGCCAGGACUGCCGAUGUCCAAGUCCAGGCCAGGGAGCGCAAGGGACGCGGCUGGGUGAGCAGAGGGUUAGAGGGUGGCUGGGUGAGCAGAGGGUUAGAGGGGGGCUGGGUGUGCAGAGGGUUAGAGGGGGGCUGGGUGAGCAGAGGGUUAGAGGGGGGCUGGGUGUGCAGAGGGUUAGAGGGGGGCCUGGGUGUGCAGAGGGUUAGAAGGGGGCUGGGUGAGCAGAGGGUUAGAAGGGGGCUGGGUGAGCAGAGGGUUAGAGGGGGGCUGGGUGUGCAGAGGGUUAGAAGGGGGCUUGGUGAGCAGAGGGUUAGAGGGGGGCUGGGUGUGCAGAGGGUUAGAGGGGGGCCUGGGUGUGCAGAGGGUUAGAAGGGGGCUGGCUGGGCGUGCAGAGGGUUAGAGGGGGGCUGGGCUUGCAGAGGGUUGUGGGGGCUGGGCUUGCAGAGGGUUAGAGGGGGGCUGGGUGUGCAGAGGGUUGGAGGGGGCGGCUGGGUGUGCAGAAGGUUAGAGAGGGCAUUGGAUUUUUAACGAAGGGUCUCUUGACUGGGAUGGCAUUGAGCCCAUGACGUCCCCGGGACGCACUCUUGGUUCAGGUCUGACCUGGCUGUUUUAACCAGAUAGAAACGUUUGUGGGCACUCCCAAGUGGGCACUUCCAUCCUGCUGAGAGCACGCUUGCUGUGGCCUCCGUAGAGACCAAGCGACACUCUUCUCAAGAAAGUGAGGGGAGAUGCGUUCUCUUUAAAGGCUUGAAGGUUGUAAUCAUGCUCUGAGGCUGCUUUUGGUGACAACAUGCUGGUGGCUGAACACACGCUCACAUGUUCAGUGCAGUCCCCACCUGGGAGGACCAGCCACACCCUGCUUUUCUGUAUUCCGUCCCCCUUUUCUGUGCGUCCUCGCGUUCUGGACUCAUCGUCUGUGUUACUUUAAUAAGCAGCAGAAGGACAGAGUCGUGCCUCGCUGGCCCCACACGCAGGGCUUUGUCGUGAGGCCGCUGGCGCACAGCCCUGCACAGUCAGACGCAGGGAUCUCGGGUGUGACCCUGUGGUGGUUACAUCGUUAUGUUUUCUAAGUUUAAUGAAUUUCUCGAUAUUAAUCCAACUUGAGCAAGUUGUUUCUAGUGCUUUUUUCCAACUGCAUAGGUUGCCUGUGGGGAGCUUGUGUGUGUGUUUUUCGGGGUGUUCUUGGGGCCUGAUAGGCGUUGCCAUCUUCCCAAGUGGGCUGCGCAGAGGAGACGCUGCGGUGAGCAGGGGUUGCUUCUGCUGGGAGUGUUGGAGGCGACGGGAAGGAUGUUGGUCCCCUUGGUUUGAGCGAAUGUGCUUGCUGUGUACACGUUUUUCCUACUUGUACAGUUCGUAGGAGUUCAGAUAAACAGUGGUUGCUUGCUGAACGCAGACAUAGUUACAUGCUAAGACCUCAACCACCAGUAAACCUGUGCUUUCCAGAAGGGAUGUAGGCCGGGCAGCGGAGCCCCAAGCUGCACUCCUGGUGGAGAAGGGCAGGCAG
rnacentral:lncRNA from 10 species